CAGGCUUAACACAUGCAAGUCGAGGGUUAGCAUGGUCUUAGCUUGCUAAGGCCGAUGGCGACCGGCGCACGGGUGAGUAACACGUAUCCAACCUGCCGUCUACUCUUGGACAGCCUUCUGAAAGGAAGAUUAAUACAAGAUGGCAUCAUGAGUCCGCAUGUUCACAUGAUUAAAGGUAUUCCGGUAGACGAUGGGGAUGCGUUCCAUUAGAUAGUAGGCGGGGUAACGGCCCACCUAGUCUUCGAUGGAUAGGGGUUCUGAGAGGAAGGUCCCCCACAUUGGAACUGAGACACGGUCCAAACUCCUACGGGAGGCAGCAGUGAGGAAUAUUGGUCAAUGGGCGAGAGCCUGAACCAGCCAAGUAGCGUGAAGGAUGACUGCCCUAUGGGUUGUAAACUUCUUUUAUAAAGGAAUAAAGUCGGGUAUGGAUACCCGUUUGCAUGUACUUUAUGAAUAAGGAUCGGCUAACUCCGUGCCAGCAGCCGCGGUAAUACGGAGGAUCCGAGCGUUAUCCGGAUUUAUUGGGUUUAAAGGGAGCGUAGAUGGAUGUUUAAGUCAGUUGUGAAAGUUUGCGGCUCAACCGUAAAAUUGCAGUUGAUACUGGAUAUCUUGAGUGCAGUUGAGGCAGGCGGAAUUCGUGGUGUAGCGGUGAAAUGCUUAGAUAUCACGAAGAACUCCGAUUGCGAAGGCAGCCUGCUAAGCUGCAACUGACAUUGAGGCUCGAAAGUGUGGGUAUCAAACAGGAUUAGAUACCCUGGUAGUCCACACGGUAAACGAUGAAUACUCGCUGUUUGCGAUAUACUGCAAGCGGCCAAGCGAAAGCGUUAAGUAUUCCACCUGGGGAGUACGCCGGCAACGGUGAAACUCAAAGGAAUUGACGGGGGCCCGCACAAGCGGAGGAACAUGUGGUUUAAUUCGAUGAUACGCGAGGAACCUUACCCGGGCUUAAAUUGCAGAUGAAUUACGGUGAAAGCCGUAAGCCGCAAGGCAUCUGUGAAGGUGCUGCAUGGUUGUCGUCAGCUCGUGCCGUGAGGUGUCGGCUUAAGUGCCAUAACGAGCGCAACCCUUGUUGUCAGUUACUAACAGGUUCCGCUGAGGACUCUGACAAGACUGCCAUCGUAAGAUGUGAGGAAGGUGGGGAUGACGUCAAAUCAGCACGGCCCUUACGUCCGGGGCUACACACGUGUUACAAUGGGGGGUACAGAGGGCCGCUACCACGCGAGUGGAUGCCAAUCCCCAAAACCUCUCUCAGUUCGGACUGGAGUCUGCAACCCGACUCCACGAAGCUGGAUUCGCUAGUAAUCGCGCAUCAGCCACGGCGCGGUGAAUACGUUCCCGGGCCUUGUACACACCGCCCGUCAAGCCAUGGGAGCCGGGGGUACAAGAAGUGCGUAACCGCGAGGAGCGCCCUAGGGUAAAACUGGU
rnacentral:rRNA from 1 species